rnacentral:rRNA from 1 species
AUUGAACGCUGGCGGCGUGCUUAACACAUGCAAGUCGAACGAAGUGGCGAACGGGUGAGUAACACGUGAGUAACCUGCCCUCUUCUUUGGGAUAACGGUCGGAAACGGCUGCUAAUACUGGAUAGUGGGGGAUGGGCUCGCGGCCUAUCAGCUUGUUGGUGGGGUGAUGGCCUACCAAGGCUUUGACGGGUAACCGGCCUGAGAGGGUGACCGGUCACAUUGGGACUGAGAUACGGCCCAGACUCCUACGGGAGGCAGCAGUGGGGAAUAUUGGACAAUGGGCGAAAGCCUGAUCCAGCCAUGCCGCGUGUGUGAAGAAGGUCUUCGGAUUGUAAAGCACUUUAAGUUGGGAGACGUUACCAACAGAAUAAGCACCGGCUAACUUCGUGCCAGCAGCCGCGGUAAUAC